UCCAGGGUAGCCUAGUGGACAUGGGACCUGCCCGGUAAGCAGAAGGUUGUGGGUUCGAUUCCCGCCCCUGGAC
rnacentral:tRNA from 1 species